rnacentral:sRNA from 1 species
GUCCAUAUCAAUGUCCAUAUCAAUUUCCCAUGUUCCAUUACAUAUCCCGUGUUCUUUCCUUCUUCCAGCUUUUACAUGCUAGCCUUUUAUACAAUGAUUCCUCUCAUCUCGACUCGUUUGAUGAAUGGGCGUUUAGUUUUUGCAACAACAUAUGCGUUGGGUUAUCUCAUAUCGGGAAACACUUUCUGCCACUUUUAACUUGAACAAAGUUGGAGAAAUAAAGUGAUGGCAGAUAUUGCAAGUUGUUUAUAGUGUGCCUGUAGAAAUGUAAAAACGCUAUGUUUCGUGAAUGCCCAGCCUGUAAAUCGAAAUAAGAUUUCGUAUUUAUUAAGCAUUGGAAGAUCACAAUUGUGACUUUGUGGGUUUCGUAAAGAACAUCAUAUAGAUUUCUUUGACCAAGUGUAAUAAAGCAAAACACACGGACAUAGUAUGGAUAUGGACACAGCAUGGGUAUGGACACAAGCAACACUACCAGUCGUUUGAAACGAUGAAAUGGGCAACAAGUCGAUUUGUUUUUCAUCUAUCAAUCGUUGUAAUUCACAUGCAGCUACAAGACGACACGUUAUAUUUAGGGUGCAAAGCAGGUAGAGAUUUCAUAGGCAUAUUUCGAAGUACCAGCUUUAUGCCCAAAANGAUGCAUGCAUGCAAGAAACUCCAUAACUUCGUUUGCGCAACUCCUGCUUAUCGUCUUCUUUCUAUACCCAUACUGGUGGAUCAAUGNAUGAACGUAGCAAUAGAUACAAGAUAUAGCGCCACACUUUUUGAGCAUAUCC